GGGCGUAGGCGGGGACAGAGGUGCUGGCGCCAGGCGCUCUGCGGGCAGGGCCAGAGGCGCGGGGACCGAGGCGAGGACGGAGGCAUACGGCGCGCAGGAGCAUAGGCGUGGGGCCCGAGAGGUCCUGCCGAGGUUGGUCCAUGAGAGCUCUUCCUGGAAGGCAGGUGGUGUGGCCCUGAAGACAUUGGCAGCUGGCAUCCUGAGGACCUUGGCGUGAUCACUAAUGGGCCCGGUCGGUUUGCACAACAUUGGACAGACCUGCUGCCUUAACUCCCUGAUUCAGGUGCUGAUUAUGAAUGUGGGAUUAACCAGAUACUGAAGAGGUAAGACUAUGUUCAGGCAG
rnacentral:lncRNA from 1 species